UUGCCAGGCUGCAGAGAAUCCAGUCACCAAUCUAUGCAGGCCCACACAUUGCCUGAGGGCUUGUUGUUGGGUGGGGCCAGUCUCUAGGGUGGGCUGCCUGCUCUGGCUGAGCUGGAUUAAAUCGGUGCUCUAGCGGGUGGAGCAGACCCUGGGCUAGCAGGCCUCAGGGAGAACUCCAAUGGCGUCUGUGUCAGCACGCUCACACCAGGCCCCAACAAUGGCCGCCGCCAAUGUCCCAGUCCCUGGAGAGGUCUCACCCCUCACCGAGAUGCACUCAGGGCCUAUUAGAUUUUGACAACAGGAGUACGAGCAAAGACAAAAAGGCACGAAGCUUAAGUAGAUGUUGCUGCAACUCCACAACUUACAUCACAGAAAGCCUCCUACCUUGAAAUCACAGAACACAUAAUAGGAUGAACACCACCCUCAGAACACAUCUGGGAAACGCUGAUUUCAGUCAUCAUUCUGCGUUGGCGGAGUCUCGCUUUCUCCAGUGGCGGAUCCACGUGUAUGUCCUUCUCCAAGGUCUCUUCUCCUGUCGUGUGAUGCCCAUACAUGCUAGCCUGUUCAUAUGGCUCUCACUGCAUCACCCCAGAAGAGGGAGAGAAAUUGGGGUGUAGGGAACUGAUGCAGUUACUACUAGGUUAAAUCAACUUGGAUACUA